AUACUACCGGAAGGGCGAGAUACCAUGAUCAAGACGGUGGCUUUCACCAAGGGCGAGGCAACCAUGCACUCCGGUUUAUGCUGACCCUGCGAAUUCCCAAAGGUGGGAAUCUCGACUGCAUAAUGUGGUAGUGGGGGAAUGCGUUCGAGCUCUCCCCUA